UACGGAGGGUGCGAGCGUUGUUCGGAAUCACUGGGCGUAAAAGCGCGUGUAGGCGGCCCCACUAAGUCUGAUGUGAAAAGCCCCGAGGCUCACCCCUCGGAAGUGCAUUGGAAAACUGGUGGACUCGAGUCCCGGAGAGGAGAGUGGAAUUCCUGGUGUAGCGGUGAAAUGCGUAGAUAUCAGGAGGAACACCGGUGGCGAAGGCGGCUCUCUGGACGGUGACUGACGCUGAGACGCGAAAAGCGUGGGGGAGCAAACAGG
rnacentral:rRNA from 1 species